rnacentral:rRNA from 1 species
GUGAACGCUGGCGGUAGGCCUAACACAUGCAAGUCGAACGGCAGCACAGUAAGAGCUUGCUCUUACGGGUGGCGAGUGGCGGACGGGUGAGGAAUACAUCGGAAUCUACUUUUUCGUGGGGGAUAACGUAGGGAAACUUACGCUAAUACCGCAUACGACCUACGGGUGAAAGCAGGGGAUCUUCGGCCCUUGCGCGAUUGAAUGAGCCGAUGUCGGAUUAGCUAGUUGGCGGGGUAAAGGCCCACCAAGGCGACGAUCCGUAGCUGGUCUGAGAGGAUGAUAGGCGACACUGGAACUGAGACACGGUCCAGACUACUACGGGAGGCAGCAGUGGGGAAUAUUGGACAAUGGGCGCAAGCCUGAUCCAGCCAUACCGCGUGGGUGAAGAAGGCCUUCGGGUUGUAAAGCCCUUUUGUUGGGAAAGAAAAGCAGCAGGUUAAUACCCCGCUGUUCUGACGGUACCCAAAGAAUAAGCACCGGCUAACUUCGUG